rnacentral:tRNA from 1 species
GGUGGCUCAGUGGUAGAGCUCUUGCCUUGCAAGCAAGAGGCCUAGGGUUUGAUUCCUAAGCACCA